rnacentral:rRNA from 1 species
GCAAGUCGAACGUGAUUAGUUAAAUAAAAGCUUCGGCCGCUAUUUAACUCUGAAAGUGGCAAACGGGUGCGUAACACGUGAACAAUCUGCCCUGAAGAUCGGAAUAGCUCGAGGAAACGCAAAUUAAUGCCGGAUGUGGCACAGAGACGCCUGUCUCCAGUGCUAAAGCUUGUAAGGGCGCUUCAGGAGGAGUUCGCGGCCUAUCAGCUUGUUGGUGAGGUAAAAGCUCACCAAGGCUAAGACGGGUAGCUGGUCUGAGAGGAUGAUC